rnacentral:rRNA from 1 species
CAGUAGCCGCGGUAAUACGUAGGUCCCGAGCGUUGUCCGGAUUUAUUGGGCGUAAAGCGAGCGCAGGCGGUUAGAUAAGUCUGAAGUUAAAGGCUGUGGCUUAACCAUAGUAUGCUUUGGAAACUGUUUAACUUGAGUGCAAGAGGGGAGAGUGGAAUUCCAUGUGUAGCGGUGAAAUGCGUAGAUAUAUGGAGGAACACCGGUGGCGAAAGCGGCUCUCUGGCUUGUAACUGACGCUGAGGCUCGAAAGCGUGGGGAGCAAACAGGAUUAGAUACCCCUGUAGUCCCUGUCUCUUAUACA